UCUAUGUUUACCUCAAAUAAUCUUUUGGAGGUCUGAAACAAAACCAAGGCAGUGCUCGGUAGGUGUCAGCGCUUUGAGAGUGAUUCCACAGCUCCAGCACCGCACCCAUCAAUUGGGUAACAGCUGAGCUGGGGAGGAAAACAACGCAGCUGGGUUUCCUUUCCUGCCCUUGACACCUGCGGAUCUCUGGUGGCUGGCACGGCCCUGCUUGGAUGUGUCACCUCGUGAGACAGCGCUUCUUGGGACAGCACCUUCCAGAGGCGUUGCAUCAAAGAGGAAUUCACUUCGGAAUGUCGGUGUUUGUACUGGGUUACAGGUUUUUGGUUUUCUCCUGUGGCUGUUUAAAGUGUCCUCCUCGUUCCAAAGGCUGAGGACUCCAUGUGCACAGCAAGUUCCAGGAGUGAGGUCACCCAGGGAAGCUGGACAGCUCUCAGGAAUUCCAACAAAACCCUGACAGCAAGCACAGGAGAGCUGGCACAGAAUCCUCCAGGGGCUGGUGAAGGCAAAGUUGGGUUCUACAGGAUCCUCCUUCUUUGUUUCCCAGAUUCCUGGGACACCUUUGCAGAGCUUAGAGUGCAGCAACAGUGGUUUGCAGUCACUGGGGCCUCAGCACUUGUGACAAGCACCCCAACCACGACGCUGCUUCUUGGAACCUCACCUGCUGCCAUGGAUGGAGCCAGUUUAUAAUUCCCACACCACGGGGAAUCCAUGGCCACUUUGCUCAGGAAUUCCUGCUCAGUCUUGUUCCUUAGCUAACAAAUCUGUCCCCAGCACUCCAAGGGUGUGGAGCAGGCAGCUUGGUUUCUUCUGGGCAUACACUCCACACAGAGGGCACCUUUGGGACCCUCUCUCUACAAUGGAAAUGUGACUUGGCCAACAUUCCCAAAUCACCAUCGACUGAGCCAUCUCAGAUUUCAAAGGAGCCCAGGCUGCUUGACUGUCGGGAGACUGGAUCUAGAAAAACAACCUUUGCAUCACUGCUGUGCUGUUCCUUGGAUGGAUCAUGUUCUGCCUGCCUUGCCCGGUGGCUGCAGCACGUUUGUGUCAGCAGGAGGAGGUAGUGAUGAUCUCUUUUUGGAGUUCAACACUGAGAGGUAAAUUUGGUGUGAAGAGUCAGAAGAGCACUCAGAGAUCCUGGUGCUUAUGUAGCUGCCUUCAGCAUCAGAGACAGCAGAGGGAGGGAGACACACCAAAGAAGGAACAUAACCAGAAAACUGAAUUUAAAUAGUAUGACCCAAAUUUUCCAUGACCAUUUUAAUCAGUAUCUCCUCAGUUGCUUUUAUGCCCUGCUAAGAAACAGCCCAAGAGAGUCCUGUUUAUUUUUAUGUGAGAGCUCUUUCUGAGACCUGGAU